AUCCUGUGUAAGGCUGUCGUCCCCACGGCUGAGUUACCUACCUGUGUGGCAGCUGUGCAGCCAGACCCGCUGCCCAUCAUACUUGCAGCGGCAGCGCAACAUGUUGUUGGAGAAAUCCGACUCUGCCACAUCGUUUGUGGGGUUCACGACCACCUGCGGCGAAGGGCACAACCAAGUGGGCGGUGUGGUUUCCGAGUGAGUUGACAUGUAGGGUUCUUUACACCUCACCUAGUACUUUACAAAGUAGUCUUUCUGUGCCCUGAUUUGCUGAUCCUUAGUCAGCCCAGGAAGUACACAUCAGCGCGCCUUUUCACAGAUGAAGACUAGGAACUGCCCAGUGUCCACUGACUAGGGACUCAAGCCCAGAGCUUUGGGAUCCCUGUGAGGGCUCUUCCUCUACAACACAGCUCCUAAAAGGGAUAGGGCUCCUGGAUCCCAUGGGAAAUCACCUUCCUCUGACCCCAGAGCAUCUGUAACUGCUGGAAAUCGUCCUUACCUGGAAGAUAUAGUCCCCUGGCCGAACAUCUGUGAUAUCCACCCACUGGCAAUCGAUGUCAUGGCGAUAUGUGUCCCAGCAACCUACAGCCACCCCCUGUUCCCCAAAGUUGGCACAUGCAUAACGCCGCUGCACUCCUGUAAAGGAGAGUACACAGUUACCAUGGCAUCAAGAGGGCAUUGUGACCGGGCACUGUGUGGUCCUUCAUAGGCUUCAGCAGUUAGUCUUCAAACUGGCUUUAGCAGCUCUGUUCUGCCCAGCACAUGAGUUUGGGGCCUAUGGUUCAGUUAAAUGACUUGCCCAAAUAGAAGAUUCAUGCUGACUGAAUUUGGCAUGGGCAAACUACAUCUGUGACAAGGACAGUGAUAUUUUGGAUGCACUAGUAAAAAUCCCUGUUGGUCUAAGAAGUGUGGUGGGGAUUCUAGCCUUCUGGUGCUGAUUCUGUCCCCCAGCCCUCAGAAGGUCUGGUUCACCUGGUUACAUCACUAAGGGAUCAGAUUGGGGGUACAAGUAGGAACACAUUCCCUGCCCUCCAAGAGCUGCUGGAAGUGUUAAGCCUCUUUAAGGUGGUACAGAGUGCUGGGGAUUGAGAGGAAAUGAGAGCUUUCCAUUGAAGGUUUCAGAAGGCAGAAAUUGAAGUUUCUGAAUUGCCCUUGAGUGCUACUGCCAAGCUAGACUCUUCAGGAGUAUGGGCUGUUGACCAGGAAAGAGAGGAGCUUGACCCCAAAGGUACUUGAGAUCUGUUGAGAGUGCACUAGGAGGCUAUGUGAAUAGAAACUCACAAACCUGUGGGGCAGUUAGUGUCUUCUAGACAGAAGCUGGCCUUGUGUCCCUCAGCCACUUUGGAGCCAUUGAGUGUGAGCAGGUCAUAAUGGGUGAAGACUUCGAUGCUGUGGUAGUGCCUGAGGAAGAAGCAGAGCUGUCAGCCCCACAGCAACAGGAGUGGGUCACCUGGAGAGGUUAGCAGGGAAGGUUGAGGCCCCGUCAUUACCCAAAGAGGGAAGUUGUAAUAGCAGGGCAGUGCCCUUCUUCCCAAACUCAAGAUUAGCCUGCUCACAGACUUCUUUGCUGGCAUUCCCGUCAGGCAGCAAGGCACGGCUGUCUCCUUUACCUGGAGUCUUAAUUCAGAGCCAAGUGUGGGCAGGAACUAACCUGUGGCACUGGUGCCAAAUCCAGCUGUGGCGUCCAGCCUUGGGACGGAAGUCGGCCCGGCCAAGGUUGUAGAUCUGUGAGGAGAAGCGCAGCAAGCGCCGAUGUCCGUAGGGCCAGUCCAUGUGGUCAGCAGACUUCGAGAGGCAGUUUUCCUCGUGGGCACAAUACAGCAUGCUGAGUGGACGAUCCUCCAAGUAGGCCGUCUCUUGUACCAGCUGGGCAUUCAUCACAAGGUGUCCCCAUGCAUCGUGUUUCUUAGGCAUCAGGGUGUCUCCAGUGCCUCUCUGCAUGCAAAAGUCCAGCCUGAGGUCAGCAAGAUGGCUCAGCCAGUAAAAGUGCAUGCCGUGCAGCCGGGCGACCUGAGUUCAAUCCUUGUAUUCCAAGUGGAAGGAGAGAACUGACUCCCGGAAGUUACAUACAUACACACACAACAAUAAUAAUAACUAAUUUUUAAAA